rnacentral:lncRNA from 1 species
UGUGUACUUUGAAAUAAGUCUCAAGAUGAAUCUCAUGUGCACCGAAGUUUGAGGAUUAUUGUUUUAUCCCUUUUCUCCUUAGCUCGGACCCCUCUUGGUAAUAGAACAACGCUAUAAGCACAGUCUCAGAUUUGUGUGAUGUUUUCUAAUUCACAAGGCUUUUUUCACACAUUGGUCUAAUUUAAUACUAACGUGAUGGGGCUGAUUUAACAACAGCCCUCUGAUUUGGAUCCCUUUCCCAUUCACUUUUCAGAUGAGGAGACAGGAAUGAGAGUCUUUGGAUCACAUGACAAGUUCCCGGCAAAGCCUGUGUUCAUCCCAAGUUUUGUGAUUCCAGAGCUGGAAGCGAAGGACUCCAAGAUGGAAAAAAACACACAAUGGAAGGAGUCCAACCUACACCAGAUGUUCGUGACAGUGGGUAUGAAUAUUGUUCUCAAAGUGCUGUAAUACAUCUGUCUCUGGAGGAUUCUCUCAACGAACAAGUAGAAAUUUGAGGCACCGCAGGCAAAAAGAGUUGAACAGCCACCUUCCAUUGUAUCUUGGGAAAGUCAACCGAACUCCCCCGGAGUAAGAUUACAAGCAAAUAAAUAACUUUGUCUGGAAGUUCUACACAGAGAAGUGUGUGUGUAUGUGUGUGUGUUUGUGUGUAAAUGGUUUAACCAAAAAGUGGCAAGUUGACUUUAUUUUGAAUAACACCUUUUGAAGUAGUCACUAUUAUAGAUCAGCGUUUUACAAUUUUUGUUUAUUUGUACACUUAUGUAUAGUUAAAUUUUGGAGGCAUCAAGUUCUAUAGUUUUGACAAAUGGCAGAGUUGUGGAAGCAUCACCACAAUCAAGAUACCACAUGGUUCCAUCACCCUCAAUGAUCCCUUGUGCUGUUUCUUUGCAGUCAAACCUUUCACCCCCAACCCUACAAAUCUUAAAUCCUUAUAUAUAAUUUUACAUAUGUAUAGCUUGUGCAAUACCCAGAAUGAUGCCCUGAAAUCAUGUUUUUGUACAUUUGUUUGUGAUAAAAUAACCCAAAACA